rnacentral:rRNA from 1 species
AACGAACGCUGGCGGCAUGCCUAACACAUGCAAGUCGAACGAGACCUUCGGGUCUAGUGGCGCACGGGUGCGUAACGCGUGGGAACCUGCCCUUAGGUUCGGAAUAACUCCCCGAAAGGGGUGCUAAUACCGGAUAAUGUCUUCGGACCAAAGAUUUAUCGCCUUUGGAUGGGCCCGCGUUGGAUUAGCGAGUUGGUAGGGUAAAAGCCUACCAAGGCGACGAUCCAUAGCUGGUCUGAGAGGAUGAUCAGCCACACUGGGACUGAGACACGGCCCAGAAUCCUACGGGAGGCAGCAGUGGGGAAUAUUGGACAAGGGGCGAAAGCCUGAUCCAGCAAUGCCGCGUGAGUGAUGAAGGCCUUAGGGUUGUAAAGCUCUUUUACCCGGGAUGAUAAUGACAGUACCGGGAGAAUAAGCUCCGGCUAACUCCGUG